rnacentral:rRNA from 1 species
UACGGGGGGGGCAAGCGUUGUUCGGAAUUACUGGGCGUAAAGCGUAUGCAGGCGGAUUGUUAAGUCGGGGGUGAAAUCCCGAGGCUCAACCUCGGAACUGCCUUCGAUACUGGCGACCUUCGAGUCCGGGAGAGGUGAGUGGAACUCCGAGUGUAGAGGUGAAAUUCGUAGAUAUUCGGAAGAACACCAGUGGCGAAGGCGGCUCACUGGCCCGGUACUGACGCUGAGAUACGAAAGCGUGGGGAGCAAACAGG